GAUGAACGCUAGCGGCAGGCUUAACACAUGCAAGUCGAGGGGUAUGGUUCUUCGGAACCAGAGACCGGCGCACGGGUGCGUAACGCGUAUGCAAUCUGCCUUUUACAGAGGGAUAGCCCAGAGAAAUUUGGAUUAAUACCUCAUAGUAUAGUACAGCCGCAUGGCUGAACUAUUAAAGUCACAACGGUAAAAGAUGAGCAUGCGUCCCAUUAGCUAGUUGGUAAGGUACGCUACCAAGGCGACGAUGGUAGGGGUCCGU
rnacentral:rRNA from 1 species